GACGUAGGAGGCGAGCAUUGUCCGGAUUCAUUGGGCGUAAAGAGCGCGCAGGCGGCUUGGUAAGUCGGAUGUGAAAACCCGAGGCUCAACCUCGGGCGUGCAUCCGAUACUGCUCGGCUAGAGGUAGGUAGGGGAGAUCGGAAUUCCUGGUGUAGCGGUGAAAUGCGCAGAUAUCAGGAGGAACACCGGUGGCGAAGGCGGAUCUCUGGGCCUUACCUGACGCUCAGGCGCGAAAGCUAGGGGAGCGAACUGG
rnacentral:rRNA from 1 species